rnacentral:rRNA from 1 species
CCUACGGGGGGCUGCAGUAGGGAAUCUUCCACAAUGGGCGAAAGCCUGAUGGAGCAACGCCGCGUGGGUGAAGAAGGUCUUCGGAUCGUAAAACCCUGUUGUUAGAGAAGAAAGUGCGUGAGAGUAACUGUUCACGUUUCGACGGUAUCUAACCAGAAAGCCACGGCUAACUACGUGACAGCAGCCGCGGUAAUACGUAGGUGGCAAGCGUUAUCCGGAUUUAUUGGGCGUAAAGGGAACGCAGGCGGUCUUUUAAGUCUGAUGUGAAAGCCUUCGGCUUAACCGGAGUAGUGCAUUGGAAACUGGGAGACUUGAGUGCAGAAGAGGAGAGUGGAACUCCAUGUGUAGCGGUGAAAUGCGUAGAUAUAUGGAAGAACACCAGUGGCGAAAGCGGCUCUCUGGUCUGUAACUGACGCUGAGGUUCGAAAGCGUGGGUAGCAAACAGGAUUAGAUACCCCAGUAGUC